GGGGUUUUAUCAGAUACAAUAGCAUCAUCACGUUUGUGUAAAAGAAUUAUCAGCACAUGUUUCAAAUUUAUAUCUGAUAAAAGUCAGGUUUCUGCUGUCAAAAGGGAUUCACAUUUAUAUUGAAAUAAAUUAAUCAGAAGAAGGUAAAAUCAGGUUGCAUAAGCAAUGUACAAUACCACCCCCUGUACUGACAUAUCGAUAUUGAAAGUACAAGAUCCACCCAGAGUCAUUUGUUCUAUUUUAAAACUUGUACAAAAUCAGUUCAAAUUCUGGGAAUCCCGGAUGACGUAGUUGAAUCUGAUUGGAUAAGAUAGAAAAGUGGAUUUUCCCCUUUCAAUUUAGAAACGCCAACAUUUUUUUACUAGUCGUCGGGCAUUUUUGGUUACAAGUCUUGGUUGCCGAGGUCUAAAUGUUGUAGUCCCGGGCGUCGGGCUAGUGGAUUUCUUAACCCCUGAAUUCAUAU
rnacentral:lncRNA from 1 species